rnacentral:rRNA from 1 species
AGCCUGAUGCAGCAACGCCGCGUGAGGGAUGACGGCCUUCGGGUUGUAAACCUCUUUUAGCAGGGAAGAAGCGAAAGUGACGGUACCUGCAGAAAAAGCGCCGGCUAACUACGUGCCAGCAGCCGCGGUAAUACGUAGGGCGCAAGCGUUAUCCGGAAUUAUUGGGCGUAAAGAGCUCGUAGGCGGUUUGUCGCGUCUGCUGUGAAAUCCCGAGGCUCAACCUCGGGUCUGCAGUGGGUACGGGCAGACUAGAGUGCGGUAGGGGAGAUUGGAAUUCCUGGUGUAGCGGUGGAAUGCGCAGAUAUCAGGAGGAACACCGAUGGCGAAGGCAGGUCUCUGGGCUGUAACUGACGCUGAGGAGCGAAAGCAUGGGGAGCGAACAGGAUUAGAUACCCUGGUAGUCCAUGCCGUAAACGUUGGGCACUAGGUGUGGGGGACAUUCCACGUUUUCCGCGCCGUAGCUAACGCAUUAAGUGCCCCGCCUGGGGAGUACGGCCGCAAGGCUAAAACUCAAAGGAAUUGACGGGGGCCCGCACAAGCGGCGGAGCAUGCGGAUUAAUUCGAUGCAACGCGAAGAACCUUACCAAGGCUUGACAUAUACGAGAACGGGCCAGAAAUGGUCAACUCUUUGGACACUCGUAAACAGGUGGUGCAUGGUUGUCGUCAGCUCGUGUCGUGAGAUGUUGGGUUAAGUCCCGCAACGAGCGCAACCC